rnacentral:tRNA from 1 species
GGAGGGGUCGCAUAGUGGCCUAGUGCGCCUGCUUGGAAAGCAGGUAUACCGCAAGGUAUCGUGGGUUCGACUCCCACCCCCUCCGCCA